GCGUCCUUAGCUCAGCUGGAUAGAGUACCUGGCUACGAACCAGGCGGUCGGCGGUUCCCAUCCACCAGGACGCGCCA
rnacentral:tRNA from 1 species